rnacentral:rRNA from 1 species
UACAGAGGGUGCAAGCGUUAAUCGGAAUAACUGGGCGUGAAGGGUGCGUAGGUAGAUAGAUAAGUUAGAUGUGAAAGCCCUGGGCUUAACCUAGGAACUGCGUUUAAUACUGUAUAUCUAGAGUCGAGGAGAGGUUAGAGGAAUUUCCAGUGUAGCGGUGAAAUGCGUAGAUAUUGGAAGGAACACCAGUGGCGAAGGCGACUAACUGGCCAAAGACUGACACUGAGGCACGAAAGCGUGGGGAGCAAACAGG